ACUCCGCCAAACCUGAUUCCUUCUCCUUCUUCUCCCCUCUCGCGACCCUUUCUCUUCUUCUCCCUCUCACAGCGUGGAGCGAUUCCUCUUCCUCUCGUCAAACCCUUCUUCCCUUCACGCGGUCACCAACCAUCCAAUGAUGCCGAAGCUAGGUUGCAUCGUCAUCGACAGCCACGGCCGAGCGGAAGCGCCUAUGUGUCGCCCUCUCCCCACAUGGAGUAGCGCCGGCUGCCUCCUUGCGGUGCCCUAGUUUCCCGACGUCGAUUUCUUCCUCUCUGCCGAGGUUGCGUCGCUGCCAUCCACUGCGGACUCACACCCAACACCGCCAGCUCUCGCAUCUGGUUCCGGUGCCUACAAUCGGGGGCUACUCGAUCGUCGGCCAUCCUCUCCCUCUCUUGCCGCACUCAUCCAUCUGCCCACCUCUAAGGACAUCAUCUUCCAUUUGAUUGGAGUCUCAGAUGACAUCAGUGAGGUGUUCUUGGUAGCGGUCGGUGGAGGCUUAUAAGGCUGUAAGCUUUAUAUUUUGGCUAUAUCUUAAGGACUCUGAUUCAAGACUAGCAUCUCGACGUUGGAUUGGUUCGAUUGGAUCUUCUAUUUGAGGCGGGUAUCUUGAG